rnacentral:miRNA from 1 species
AACUAUGUUUGUUAUUGGUAUGAGCUUUUGUGUGCAUGCACACUUCUUCAGAUACCAAAUAAAAAAAUUCCUUCCAGUAGCACCUUAGAGACCAACUAAGUUUGUUUUUGGUAUGAGCUUUCAUGUGCAUGCACACUUAUCUGAAGAAGUUUGCAUGCACACGAAAGCUCAUACCAAUAACAAACUUAGUUGG